AUUCUUUUCUGGUUCAUAAGCAUGAUGAUCGGUUUUCAAUCAACUGUGUGAUAUGUUCUUCCCUUCAACCUUGUUAUGACAUUGGCACAUGACCCAUCUGACC